rnacentral:rRNA from 1 species
UACGUAGGCAGCGAGCGUUGUUCGGAGUUACUGGGCGUAAAGGGUGUGUAGGCGGUUGUUUAAGUUUGGUGUGAAAUCUCCCGGCUUAACCUGGGAACUGCGUGUGAUACUGGAUGGCUUGAAUUCGGGAGAGGGAUGCAGAAUUCCAGGUGUAGCGGUGAAAUGCGUAGAUAUCUGGAGGAAUACCGGUGGCGAAGGCGGCAUCCUGGACCGACAUUGACGCUGAGGAGCGAAAGCUAGGGGAGCAAACGGG